rnacentral:rRNA from 1 species
CCUACGGGAGGCAGCAGUGAGGAAUAUUGGACAAUGGAGGCAACUCUGAUCCAGCCAUGCCGCGUGCAGGAAGAAUGCCCUAUGGGUUGUAAACUGCUUUUAUUUGGGAAUAAACCUCUUUACGUGUAGAGAGCUGAAGGUACCAAAUGAAUAAGCACCGGCUAACUCCGUGCCAGCAGCCGCGGUAAUACGGAGGGUGCAAGCGUUAUCCGGAAUCAUUGGGUUUAAAGGGUCCGCAGGCGGACUAAUAAGUCAGUGGUGAAAGCCCAUCGCUUAACGAUGGAACUGCCAUUGAUACUGUUAGUCUUGAAUUCGGUCGAAGUGGGCGGAAUGUGUCAUGUAGCGGUGAAAUGCAUAGAUAUGACACAGAACACCAGUUGCGAAGGCGGCUUUCUGGAUCAUUACUGACGCUGAGAUACGAAAGUAUGGGUAGCGAAGAGGAUUAGAUACCCUCGCAGUCCAUACCAUAAACGAUGAUUAUUAGAUGUGGGGAAUUAUUUCUCUGUAUCAUAGCUAACGCGUUAAAUAAUCCGCCUGGGGAGUACGACCGCAAGGUUAAAACUCAAAUGAAUUGACGG